rnacentral:piRNA from 1 species
UAAUAGAACCUUUGAUGAACCUCU